rnacentral:rRNA from 1 species
GAUGAACGCUGGCGGCGUGCCUAAUACAUGCAAGUCGAGCGAACGGACGAGAAGCUUGCUUCUCUGAUGUUAGCGGCGGACGGGUGAGUAACACGUGGAUAACCUACCUAUAAGACUGGGAUAACUUCGGGAAACCGUAGCUAAUACCGGAUAAUAUUUUGAACCGCAUGGUUCAAAAGUGAAAGACGGUCUUGCUGUCACUUAUAGAUGGAUCCGCGCUGCAUUAGCUAGUUGGUAAGGUAACGGCUUACCAAGGCAACGAAGCAUAGCCGACCUGAGAGGGUGAUCGGCCACACUGGAACUGAGACACGGUCAAGACUCCUAAGGGAGGCAGCAGUAGGGAAUCUUCCGCAAUGGGCGAAAGCCUGACGGAGCAACGCCGCGUGAGUGAUGAAGGUCUUCGGAUCGAAAAACUCUGUUAUUAGGGAAGAACAUAUGUGUAAGUAACUGUGCACAUCUUGACGGUACCUAAUCAGAAAGCCACGGCUAACUACGUG